ACACUCCUGCGGGAGGCAGCAGUGGGGAAUUUUGGACAAUGGGCGCAAGCCUGAUCCAGCCAUGCCGCGUGCGGGAAGAAGGCCUUCGGGUUGUAAACCGCUUUUGUCAGGGAAGAAAAGGUUCUGGCUAAUACCUGGGACUCAUGACGGUACCUGAAGAAUAAGCACCGGCUAACUACGUGCCAGCAGCCGCGGUAAUACGUAGGGUGCAAGCGUUAAUCGGAAUUACUGGGCGUAAAGCGUGCGCAGGCGGUUAUGCAAGACAGAGGUGAAAUCCCCGGGCUCAACCUGGGAACUGCCUUUGUGACUGCAUGGCUAGAGUACGGUAGAGGGGGAUGGAAUUCCGCGUGUAGCAGUGAAAUGCGUAGAUAUGCGGAGGAACACCGAUGGCGAAGGCAAUCCCCUGGACCUGUACUGACGCUCAUGCACGAAAGCGUGGGGAGCAAACAGGAUUAGAAACCCUAGUAGUCCCA
rnacentral:rRNA from 1 species